rnacentral:rRNA from 1 species
CGAUCUGGCUCAGGAUGAACGCUAGCGACAGGCUUAACACAUGCAAGUCGAGGGGCAGCAUAGAAGUGGCAAUACUUGGUGGCGACCGGCGCACGGGUGAGUAACGCGUAUGCAACCUACCUAUCGAGAGGGGGAUAACCCGGCGAAAGUCGGACUAAUACCGCAGUAAAACAGGGGCACCGCAUGGUGAUAUUUGUUAAAGAAAUUCGCUGAUAGAUGGGCAUGCGUUCCAUUAGGUAGUUGGUGAGGUAACGGCUCACCAAGCCGACGAUGGAUAGGGGAACUGAGAGGUUGGUCCCCCACACUGGUACUGAGACACGGACCAGACUCCUACGGGAGGCAGCAGUGAGGAAUAUUGGUCAAUGGGCGGGAGCCUGAACCAGCCAAGUCGCGUGAAGGGAAAAGAAGGAUCUAUGGUUCGUAAACUUCUUUUGCAGGGGAAUAAAGUGCAGGACGUGUCCUGUUUUGUAUGUACCCUGAGAAUAAGGAUCGGCUAACUCCGUGCCAGCAGCAGC